AACGAACGCUGGCGGCAUGCCUAACACAUGCAAGUCGAACGAGACCUUCGGGUCUAGUGGCGCACGGGUGCGUAACGCGUGGGAACCUGCCCUUAGGUUCGGAAUAACUCCCCGAAAGGGGUGCUAAUACCGGAUAAUGUCUUCGGACCAAAGAUUUAUCGCCUUUGGAUGGGCCCGCGUUGGAUUAGCUAGUUGGUAGGGUAAAAGCCUACCAAGGCGACGAUCCAUAGCUGGUCUGAGAGGAUGAUCAGCCACACUGGGACUGAGACACGGCCCAGACUACUACGGGAGGCAGCAGUGGGGAAUAUUGGACAAUGGGCGAAAGCCUGAUCCAGCAAUGCCGCGUGAGUGAUGAAGGCCGUAGGGUUGUAAAGCUCUUUUACCCGGGAUGAUAAUGACAGUACCGGGAGAAUAAGCUCCGGCUAACUCCGU
rnacentral:rRNA from 1 species